rnacentral:lncRNA from 1 species
GUGUGUGUAUAAGGAAGAAAGCUAUAAUAUACAGCCUGCUGCCUCUCUAUAUAUCUAUACCUUCUUUGUGGGUCACGGUGGUGGCCUCGGGCAGUGGAUCUGUGGUUGACAACUGCUGGUGGCUGCUUCUUCUUCCACCAUCUGGCAGUAGCACUAGUAGUAGCAGCAGCAGCAGCAGCAGCAGCAGUAGCAGCAGCCG